GCAGCCAUGUAGCUCUGGGAGGUCAGCCAGACCUAUUUCCUCUCUGUUCCCAGGGCAGGUCCUGUUGUCCGCACCCCUCUCUAUACCACCCAAAUGGAGGGGCCAGCCUGAGAACUGGACGUGUUUCUGAUUUCAUCUCAGUUCUGCUGCAGUUCUUUGAGAGGACACGGCACACAUGGGACCUGUGGACACGGGUGGCCACUCUGCUGCCGGUUGGCCACAACCCAAAUGCUGGACUGCCCAGCACUGGAAGAGGCUUCCAGACAGCAGGCUGCAGCGCACUGAAUGGAUCCAACUGUUUAGUUUGUGAGAUCAAGGAGUAGGAAGGUAAGACUGGAGUGUGCAUUGCCAUCCCAUACCCAUGGUGAGAGGACUUCCAUGAGUGGA
rnacentral:lncRNA from 1 species